CUACUUACUUGAAGAUGAAUAGAUCUUGAUUAUCUUUAUUUAUAUAUGAUGGAAGAGAUGAGGGACAUGAUAUAACUAAUGUAAAAGUGCGGGAAGGAAAUACUUAUUUCAUGAAUAUUAUGCUCCCACACAUAUUUUAAUGCUUAUUUGAAAAGAAAAAACAUUUUGAAAUUAAUUUCAAAUUUAAUUGUUUGUUACAGUUAAUAAAAAGUUAGUAUAAUAAUAAUAAUUUGUGACAGCCUAAUAGUCCCAUAUCGGAUGGGAAUGGAGUUGUUAUUGGAUAUAUAAGAGGACUCCACCUUAAUAUAGCCGAGUUUAGGCAUUUUGGAUUGAUGAUUUUGGCCCAACGAGUUGUUAUUAUUGGCAGGUCGUGUUGUUACAUUUGGUAUCAGAGCCGAUUCACCAGCUGGAAGUGGAAGUGUGAGAUAAGUCUUAGAGCCAGGGUUGGAAUGACAGGCUAAAUCAGGGUCAGUGAAUAAUAAACUAAGUCAGAGUCGGAAUGAUAAAGUUAACGAAACGAGUUAUUAUUAUUAGUGAGUAGGGUCGUUACAUAUGGAAUAAUAUAUUGGGGCAAUUGCCUAUAUACCCCUGAAAAGUUUCCGAUUUUCUUAUUUACCCAUCUUAGAAGGCUAAUAUUGAAAAUACCCUUCUUAUGUUCCAAGUUCUUUCUAAUUUACCCCUGCAGUUAAAUUCCGUCAGUGAGGUGCUAACAGUUGCCGUUAUCCCUGCAAAAUUACCAUUUUGCCCAUUCCAAUAUACCCUCGUACCGUAACCUACUUUUCUUAUAUGCCCUCCAUGUAGCCAAUACUUUUCUUAUUUACCCUUAAAAUAUCAAAUUCGUUUCCUAUUUACCCUCCAACGGUCAUUUCAACGGUAACCUUCUUUUCUAACAUUAUAAAAGCACAUCCAUGGCUCAACAACAAGUCAAGCUUACUUCUCCAUCUACUAGCUUUUUUUUUCUCUUAUUUCCCUCACUACUAGCCAUAAUGAGCCAUCUAAGUGAGAGAUCUGCAUCAACUCCUGACACACAAAUUCCUGUGUGCGACUGCGGAAGAUCUUGUAGAAUAUGGGUAUCGAAGCAGCCAACAAGCCAAGGACGUCGAUUCUACCGUUGCCCAAAUUGGGGGGUAAGAUAAGCUAUUGUAUAUUCUAACU
rnacentral:lncRNA from 1 species